CUUUGAAAAAGCAGGGGGAGGAUACUGUGUGUUCAGAGGCGACUGGGUGGCUCUCGGCACUGAAAGACGCCGGAACGUUCCCUGAAAGAUCAUUUUCCAGGAGUCUGUGAGAUAUGAAGGGACAGACGCUGCUGGCCUGGGGGAUGGUGCUCCUGCUCUGUGUGGCCUUGAUGUCCACUGAAGCAAAACAGAGCAGGACUCAGCUCAAGUGCUGUACUAGAAAGGACCCGAAGGUUCGCAAAGAAAUCUAUAAACACAAAAUGCAAGGUUCGAGGUUCAAGCGUUCCUGCAAGAUAUGCAAAAAUCCAAACAGGGUUUACAUUAACCCUGGAAAUCCACUGCCCUCUCUCUGAUCCUCUCUGGAACCUGGAGGCAAGAAUUCUGGCUGAUUAACCCUACACGUGCACAAGACAAAUUAUUUACCUGGCUGGAGGCCAGUUCUGCGUUGGUGUAAUUUUAUCAAUCAAAUAUUAAUACACAUUUUGUAAUAUUCUCUGCCAGGCAGUCUAAUAGAAAAAGUAAAGACCCCAAUAAAAACUAGUAAAUGGUAGAAAAGGAAUAAAAACACUAAAUUGAGUGUUUACAUGGCUGAACCAUGUAAUCUUGUGGUUCCUACUUCAGGUUGGUCUGAUUAUAGAGACAAAAAUGUGAAAGGUCCUCUGUAUUAUCAUUCAACAAAUGAUAAUCGUUCAUAUCUGUCCAUCUAUAAGCCAGCUGUAGACCUAGGCCAUGUAGAAUAUCGACCUGUUUAAAUGUUCUAGCAAAUGUGUGUCAGUACAUUCAAGCCUCACUAUUUUAUUUCAUUUUAAAAUAAAACCCCAUUUUAUUUACAUUUUUGUCAAUUUAAAAAGAACCUGUAACCUGAAGCUGAUGAUGAAUGCAUUUUCACUUGUCAAGUUCUAUCUAUAUUCAGUCUUACCUUCUUUUUCUUCUUCUUCUAAUUAUUAUUAUUGUAUGAAAGUUUAUCUACUCUUAUUUGAUCACAAUUGUAAAGAUGAGAAUACAAUUUCUUACACUUUUAUACUUUUUUUUACAUGCUGUAACAAUGUGAUAAUAAACUACUUGUAAAAGAUCA